rnacentral:rRNA from 1 species
ACGCUGGCGGCAGGCUUAACACAUGCAAGUCGAACGGUAACAGGGAUUAGCUUGCUAAUUUGCUGACGAGUGGCGGACGGGUGAGUAAUGCUUGGGAAUCUGGCUUAUGGAGGGGGAUAACUACGGGAAACUGUAGCUAAUACCGCGUAAAAUCUUAGGAUUAAAGGGUGGGACUUUCGAGCCACCUGCCAUAAGAUGAGCCCAAGUGGGAUUAGGUAGUUGGUUAGGUAAAGGCUGACCAAGCCGACGAUCUCUAGCUGGUCUGAGAGGAUGACCAGCCACACUGGAACUGAGACACGGUCCAGACUCCUACGGGAGGCAGCAGUGGGGAAUAUUGCACAAUGGGGGGAACCCUGAUGCAGCCAUGCCGCGUGAAUGAAGAAGGCCUUCGGGUUGUAAAGUUCUUUCGGUGACGAGGAAGGUUGAUAGGUUAAUAGCCUAUCAAAUUGACGUUAAUCACAGAAGAAGCACCGACUAACUCCGUGCCAGCAGCCGCGGUAAUACGGGGGGUGCGAGCGUUAAUCGGAAUAACUGGGCGUAAAGGGCACGCAGGCGGUGACUUAAGUGAGAUGUGAAAGCCCCGAGCUUAACUUGGGAAUUGCAUUUCAUACUGGGUCGCUAGAGUACUUUAGGGAGGGGUAGAAUUCCACGUGUAGCGGUGAAAUGCGUAGAGAUGUGGAGGAAUACCGAAGGCGAAGGCAGCCCCUUGGGAAUGUACUGACGCUCAUGUGCGAAAGCGUGGGGAGCAAACAGGAUUAGAUACCCUGGUAGUCCACGCUGUAAACGAUGUCGAUUUGGGGAUUGGGCUUUGAGCUUGGUGCCCGUAGCUAACGUGAUAAAUCGACCGCCUGGGGAGUACGGCCGCAAGGUUAAAACUCAAAUGAAUUGACGGGGGCCCGCACAAGCGGU